GGGGAUGUCAGGAGGCCACGACUGCUCCCUGCGUCUGUGGAGCCUGGACAACAAGACGUGUGUGCAGGAGAUCACGGCCCACCGCAAGAAGCACGAGGAGGCCAUCCACGCCGUCGCCUGCCACCCCAGCAAGGCCCUCAUCGCCAGCGCGGGCGCCGAUGCCCUGGCCAAGGUCUUUGUAUGAUGCCCACCUGGCCCCGCCCUGGCCGGGGAGCGAGGCUGGGCAGGUGGGACUGAGGUGACAGCCUCAGUCUGGAGGCCCAGAGGCCCAGCCUCUUCCUGCCUGCCUUGAGUCUGGUGGUGCUAAAGGCCCUUUCCGCAGGAGGCCCUCCCCCAUGGCCCGCCCCUCCCCAGCACUCAGCCUGGGGAGUUGCCUCCUUCAGGAAUCACCCUCCAAGAUGGCCUCCAGGAGUUUCAUCUCUGCCCCGACACCCACUCCUGGUCUCCUAGCUGCCUUCUGGGGGCAGCACAACCAGGGCUGGGUGUCCUUGGGGAUCAGCUUUUCCAAGAUGCCAGAAGGUGCCAGGUUCUCUCUUUGAACCCCCAUUCCUCUCCAUCCUUCCAGACCUGGGUAGGAUCUGUGCUGGGAGGAACCCCAGACGCCCUGCUCUAGGUCCACCAGGAGCCAUGGAGCCAGCUGGGCCCAGGCUGUCCUCAGUGGGAGUGCUGGGCCUGGCCCACCCGGAAGCACACCCAGUCCACCACCCUCCCU